AGCUCCAAUAGCGUAUAUUAAAGUUGUUGCGGUUAAAAGCUCGUAGUUGGAUUUCUGUUGAAGGCGGGCCGUCUGCACUACGUGCAUGUAUGUGUUACGACUUCGGCAUCCUCAUGAAGAACGGCGCUGUGAUUUAUUUCGUGGCUCGGAAUUCAUGACUUUUACUUUGAGGAAAUUAGAGUGUUCACGGCAAGCAAACGCUUUGAAUACAUUAGCAUGGAAUAAUGAUAUAGGCGAAUGCGUCUAUUUUGUUGGUUUCUAGACGCAAUCGAAUGAUUAAUAGGGACAGUUGGGGGCAUUCGUAUUAUGACGUCAGAGGUGGAAUUCUUGGAUUGUCAUACGACGAACUACUGCGAAAGCAUUUGCCAAGGAUGUUUUCAUUGAUCAAGAACGAAAGU
rnacentral:rRNA from 1 species